rnacentral:SRP_RNA from 1 species
CUGUGCUAAGCGGGGAGCUAGCGGUGCCCUGUUGCCUACAAUCCGCUACAGUAGGGCUGAAUGGUACGGGCGGCUUUGUGCGUGGAAAGCAGGAAGGCGUAAGGAGCGUUGAUACCAAGGUCUUGUGCAACGUGACGCUGUUAACCGUGUCAGGGCGGGAACGCAGCAGCACUACGCAGUUUGAUCGUGUGCCACAAGGUUGCUUUGGAGUAGCCACCUGCGCAGAUACCGUUUCGGCGUGCAACGUCAACCGUACCGCACAG